AUAGGUGUGCUGGAAGAAGUGAAAUUUUAAGUUUAGUUUUGGUAGUGCUGUAAAAAAAAUAUUCUAAUCCGCAGUUUCCAGGAUUUUCGCCGUUUCAAACCCUGUGAAAGAAUAUACUCGGAUCUAGGCUUGCCUUAACUAGACGUUUCAGAAAAUUUCCAACGAUAAACAUCAUCGUCAAUUCAAAAUUUUUUCAACUUACUUGCUAUUGAGAAGUGCUGAGGUUUGGAGCUAGACAAAAUUGUCUGAAACUUCAACACAACAUACGAUAAAGAAGGCUUAUCUCGAGGAAACUGAUUCACUAUGGAACCAGAGAGCGUUAGACCGAGUAGAAGAGUUAACGACACCCAAGCGAAAGAUGAAUCGCUCGACCAUUCAACAUUUAACCCGAAUCGGAACAGACAAAGCCGCAAAGAUUCAUUCGAUGGUUCAAUGGACUGUCGUCCUUCGACCUCCGCUUUAAGCUAUGCGAGAGAGUUUCGAUCACCGGAUGGUGAAGAAUAUAUUAGGAAAGACUACAUCACCGGACAAGCCAACGAACUCGGUUUUUCCGCCUGCUUAAGCUCGGAAUCCAGUAAGAUAACAGUUAUCAACCAAGGCUGCCAGAUGUCUAUGGAUGAUGAUCUAGAGGCAGAAAUAAUGAUCGAGAAGCCGGAAUUAUUGGAUGAAACACGCAGUUUUGAACAGGCAAAGAAAGCUCUGCUGGAUCAGAUUCGGUUUAAGAAAGUGCUUUUCGAAUGUGUUCCGAUAAAUCGAUACCUACUACUAGUAAAAUGCAUAGACAAACUUUUAAAUUUAUAUAUUCAUAAAUUUGAUUCAGACUUGCUAAAGGAAUAUAUGUCGUUGAUCGAAUUGGGUCUGGAAAGCAAUUUUGGUGAUGGAAGUGAUUAUCGGAGUAAGUUCGAACAACUCAUGAAACAUGUCGAGUUGGAACCAGAGGUCACUGAAUUAUUAACUAAGUUGUAUGAUGUCGAAUGUUUUUUAUUGAGAAGAUGUAAACUUUUUCCACACCUCCCAAUUCCACCAUAAUCAAAUGUUUCAGAAACUCGUAAAGCAGUUUAGGACAAGCUUCUAGACGCAAAAGUUGAGAUUGUUAAAACGCUUGUAGUGAUCAAUAAAUUAAGCGCAGAAGUUGCACCGCGUUAAUCUGCGUGGAAGGCAUCAACUUAGUCAUCUCUU